rnacentral:lncRNA from 1 species
GGCGUCGCGGGCACAGGGUGAGGGCGGCCGUUACUGGAGUUCAGCUUCGGGAAGGAGGACGCUGAGGAGGCGCCGAGCCGCGGAGCGCUUCUGGGGAGGCGCCCGCGCAGACUCGAGGCCCAUAGCCAGGACCACCACCUAGCUGUUCUACAGUCUGGGGACCAUGGUUUAAGAAUUUAUGCCUUGUAUGCGAUGUGCAGUGGGUGAUGGAAGAACGUCUACAUGGCUUUAAAAUUGGAUUUAAAAGGCAAAUAUUUUAAAUGAAGGAAAACCCAAGAAGUUUACUUGAUUCCUUAUCUUCCAGGAUGCGGCUUUUAUUUAUUUAUUUAUUUUAUUUUGAUGGAGUCUCGCUGCCGUCGCGCAGGCUGGAGUGCAGUGACGCGAUCUUGACCCGGGAACCUCCACCUCCCGGGUUCAAGCGAUUCUCCUUCCUCAACCACGCGAGUAGCUGGGAUUACAGGCGUGUGCCACCAUGCCCGGCUAAUUUUUGUGUUUUUAGUAGAGACUGGGGAAGGUAUGGGCCCUCUUUUGAGAAAAAUGCAGAGUGACACUGAAUUUUGUAACUACCUCAGGAGGCUCUUGAACCUUCUGCAGCUCACUCAUGGAGUUUGUAGAGAUGCGUAAUAAUCCGAAGUGUUAAAGAAGAAGGUUCUGUUGAGAAAAAGUUGGAGGGCUGAAAGGGAUGCCUUUCGCUAUUUCGACGUGUGGCUGUACCCCAGAGUGCCCUGGCUAACACGCGAAACCAUGAAUUAGGCGGCUUGGCGAGGCUCAGUGGAGGCUGGGGCUGAGAGUCGUGUCGAAGUUUGUGAGGUUAACCUGCACCCAGUGACAGUCAUGGCGAAGUUUGUGAGGUUAACUCGCACCCAGUAACGCUGUUCCAAUGCAAGGUGUGUAUUUGGUGUCAUCCACGGGAAGAGGAAAGAGCAAAUUUUCUCAUGGCCUUGGCAGUUCCACGUGAUGGACAUUUCAUAUCUGCAGUUUUCUUCGCAUGAGACGGCUUUUUCGCACAAACACACUGGAAUCCAGUGAGCAAUGAUAGAAUGCAAGAUGAAUUUCCACAUGAGGAAGUGUCACGAACGAGGGUUUUGCAUCUUUGUCAGCUGGAUUCCCCCAUGUGUAUGUAUGUGAGAACAUGCCGUGUUUCCUGUCUGUAAUGGUAGAGGCAGCCCUGAUACUGGAUUUUCACCUGAGGAUGGAUAGAUCUUCAGGGUUCAAGUGGGUUUGCAUCUGGACUUUAGGGUGGCCCUGUAGGCCCUGUGUGAGAAGCCCCCUUCCCAGUGAACUUUCCCUUGUGUGCCCGCGUGGACAGCCAACAGGGGGAGCAGUGCGAGCGUGAAGGCAGACAGUGGCCUGGCCCAGUCUGAUGGUAAGUGGGCCAGAGGCAGUGAGUACCAUUUCUUGAUCUGACUACUCAAGACAGGAGCUUCCCUAGGUACUUUCACACCUCAUUGCGAGGUACGUGUUGUUCCCAUUUUACGGGUGCAGAAGCUGAGCUGCAGAGGCGUUAAGUACCUGCCUCAUAAGUGGUAGAGACUCCAGUGUCACCCUGCCCCUCACAUUCGGAGCCCCCGAGGGAGGGUCUGCCGGGCAGCUCAGCCCAGCACUCUGUAAGGAAAUCUUCAGUGCCACUGCCCAGGAUGUCUUCCCGGGGAUUGGGCCUGAAUGUCUUGACCAUGCCGUGCUGAAGGCAGGAGGGGUGUCUUCAUAUGGAAGAACUGUACAUAUUUCUCUGGCAGAUGGCUGCACUGUGUGACCCCGGGGCCUGUUUCAGCUUCCUGCUGUCAGAAAGCAGCUGUUUGGGAAGAGGCUGUGAUUCGGCCUUGUUUGAGGGCCAAUACUCUGAAUGGGUGAGGCUUGGAAUCCUCCCUUUGGAACAAAGAAACAUAAUGAUUUUGCUGAAGGUAGAAUUGGGGGCUAGGCAGAGUGGCCUCCUGCCCUCCCUAGGGUGGUUCUGUCUUUUGCAAAGGUGGCUGCAUCCUUAGGGGAAGGUGAGGGGAGAAGCAGGAAGCAUGGAGAGAAGUGGCUUUCAAUUUUCUCCCUCCUUUUGGGGAGUUCCUCCUUAUGUGGCUGGUCUGGUGCAUAGUGUGAUGUAUUCCUGUCCGCAACGUUGCCCUGACAGCCAGUCCAAGCUGAGUCUAGAGCUGGCAAGGUGAGCUCCCAGUAGUAAGAGGGUGUGGGCGGCAAGCCACCCAGGCACCGAGGCAAGAGACAGAGAACACGAGCUGUUCCAGUAUAAUAAAAUAUAAAACAAGAAUAGUUAUACCAGAUAUAGAUCUUAGAUAUGAUUAUAUAUGAAUAUCAUUAAUCAUGAGUUUGCAGCAAUUACUUUUUAUUCCAAUAUUAUGAUAAUCCUUGCUCUAUAAUCAUAGCCUAGGAAAAACCAGGCCAUACAGAGGAGCUGAGGGGACAUAGUGAGGUGUGACCAGAAGACAAGAGUGCGAGGCUUCUGUUAUGCCUGGACAGGGCCACAAGAGGGCUCCUUGGUCUAGCGGUGAUGCCAGCGUCUGGGAAGACGCCCGUUACUAGGCGGAUCGUGGCCCAGUGGUAGCAAAAGGUGUCAAGGAACAACACUCGCUACUUAGCAGACCUGGAAAGGGGCGGGGGGGGGUGGUCUCCCUUUCCCCGGGGGAGUUUAGAAAAGACUGCUCCUCCACCUCUUGUGGAGGGCCUGACAUCAGUCAGGCUUGCCCGUAGUUAUCCGGAGGCCUAACUGUCUCCCUGUGAUGCUGUGCUUCAGUGAUCACACUCCUUGUCUGCCUUCAUGUUCCAUCCUGUACACCUGGCUCUGCCUUCUAGAUAGCAGUAGUAAAUUAGUGAAAAUACUAAUAGUCCCUGAUAUGCAGAAAUAAUGGUAUAAGCUGUCUUUCUCUCUGUCUCCUCUCCCUCUCUGCCUCGGCUGCCAGGCAGGGAAGGGCCCCCUGUCCAGUGGACACGUGACCCACGUGACCUUACCUAUCAUUGGAGGUGACUCACAUUCUUUACCCUGCCCCUUCUGCCUUGUAUCCAAUAAAUAACAGCGCAGUCAGACAUUCGGGCCACUACCGGUCUCCGCGCAUUGGUGGUAGUGGUCCCCCGGGCCCAGCUGCCUUUUCUCUUAUCUGUUUGUCUUGUGUCUUUAUUUCUACACUCUCUAAUCGCCACACACAGGGAGAGACCCACCGACCCUGUGGGGCUGGUCCCUACA